UACAGAGGGGGCAAGCGUUAUUCGGAAUUACUGGGCGUAAAGCGUGCGCAGGCGGUUUUGUAAGUCAGAUGUGAAAUCCCCGGGCUUAACCUGGGAACUGCGUUUGAAACUACAAGGCUAGAGUGUGGCAGAGGGGGGUGGAAUUCCACGUGUAGCAGUGAAAUGCGUAGAGAUGUGGAGGAACACCGAUGGCGAAGGCAGCCCCCUGGGUUAACACUGACGCUCAGGCACGAAAGCGUGGGGAGCAAACAGG
rnacentral:rRNA from 1 species